AGAAAAUGAAAGAGUGAAGAUUAUAAUUAUAUAUCCACAACUGAUCAAGACCAAAGCUGUAUCCCAUUAAUAAUGCCAGGCAACCCAAGGAUUCACCUGGCCAUUCUAGAUGCUGUCCUUUCCCAUCUCACUUCAAACACAAAUAAUCCAGGCCUUCUACUAGCCAGUCCCACCUCCAGAGCAGAGAGCACAGACGUUCU